rnacentral:rRNA from 1 species
GACGAACGCUGGCGGCGUGCUUAACACAUGCAAGUCGAACGGAAAGGCCCUGCUUUUGUGUCGUGCUCGAGUGGCGAACGGGUGAGUAACACGCGUGUAACCUGCCCCUGACUUUGUGAUAUCUUCAGGAGACUGGGGCUCAUACCGGAUAGGAGCUCCUGCUGCAUGUUGUUGGAUGGAGAGUUUCGGCGGUGCGGGAUGGAUUCGCUGCUUACGAGCUUCUUUGUGUAGUAGUGGCUGACAAAGGCUUUGACGGGUAGCCGGCAUGAGAGGGUGACCGGGCUCCUUGGGACUGAGAUACGGCCCAGAAUCGAACGGGAGGCAACAGGCGGGAAUCUUGCAGAAUGAGCGCAAGCCAGAUGCAGAAACGCCGCGUGCGGGAUGACGGCUUUCGGGUUAUAAACCGCUUUCGAAUGUAACGAAGAGUGAGUGACGGUAAUGGGUAAAGAAGCAACGGCUAACUACGUG